rnacentral:rRNA from 1 species
CUACGGGUGGCACCAGUGGGGAAUAUUGCACAAUGGGCGCAAGCCUGAUGCAGCCAUGCCGCGUGUAUGAAGAAGGCCUUCGGGUUGUAAAGUACUUUCAGCGGGAAGGAAGGGAGUAAAGUUAAUACCUUUGCUCAUUGACGUUACCCGCAGAAGAAGCACCGGCUAACUCCGUGCCAGCAGCCGCGGUAAUACGGAGGGUGCAAGCGUUAAUCGGAAUUACUGGGCGUAAAGCGCACGCAGGCGGUUUGUUAAGUCAGAUGUGAAAUCCCCGGGCUCAACCUGGGAACUGCAUCUGAUACUGGCAAGCUUGAGUCUCGUAGAGGGGGGUAGAAUUCCAGGUGUAGCGGUGACAUGCGUAGAGAUCUGGAGGAAUACCGGUGGCGAAGGCGGCCCCCUGGACGAAGACUGACGCUCAGGUGCGAAAGCGUGGGGAGCAAACAGGAUUAGAUACCCGCGUAGUC